rnacentral:rRNA from 1 species
AGGCUGCAACUCGCCUGCAUGAAGUCGGAAUUGCUAGUAAUCGUGGAUCAGCAUGCCACGGUGAAUACGUUCCCGGGCCUUGUACACACCACCCGUCACACCAUGGGAGUCGGUAACACCCGAAGCCUGUAGUCUAACCGCAAGGAGGACGCAGUCGAAGGUGGGAUUGAUGACUGGGGUGAAGUCGUAACAAGGUAGC